AUGCCUGGUGGGGUGCGUAGUCGAAGUCAGUCUGUUCCAUCCGCUUAUGGCAUUCAAUAUGGGGUGCAGGGACAUCAGCACGGUAACAACAGGGGUUCAGCAAUGUCAGAAAUGAGUGAACUACGGGAAAUGCUCAGAAAGCAGCAACAACAAUUGAAUCAGUUAACCCAAGGUAUGGCUCAGCUGCAAAAUCCCCAGUCACAUUCGCGACCAUUUAAGGCUAAUUUAAUUUGCAGAAGGUAUCAGCAACCUGGCCAUUUUUGCCAGGGAUUGCGAUGGGGAGCGGAUAUCUGUUCCACCAUCAGCCCGUUUGAAUUCUGCUUUAAUGAGAGGUGGACAGCCAUCAUCCGUGCAGCCGUCGGAAAACUAGUUCCCACCGAGUUGCAGGGCCACAACUUGGUUGGGAAAAGGAUAGGCUCCAAAAAUGUAUCUGGUUCUGAUUUUAUGUCACGCUUUAUGUCUUCUUGCCCACAGCUAGUUGUAUUGAUGGGUGGGGUUCAGGUACCUUGCCUGGUGGACACCGGUUCCAUGGUGUCCACCAUUACUGAAGGUUGGUUUGUGGCUAAUUUUGGGUUGUGGGGUCAGGAACAGCUUAAAGUGUGUCAUUGGUUACAGCUUCGAGCGGCCAAUGGCCUUUCAAUUCCUUAUGUUGGUUAUUUGGAACUAGACGUGGAGCUCUGUGGUAGAGUAGUUUUAGGUUGCGGUGUGCUGGUGGUCCGAGAUCCCCCUGGUGGCGUGUGUGUAGAUGUCCCUGGGGUGUUGGGCAUGAACAUCCUGGGCCGCUGCUACCAGGAGCUCUUUGGCCAGCAUGGCACAGCUCUCUUCGACCUACCAAUCGUGUCUCAGGCCCCUCAUUCUGUUUUUCAGGCUUUACAACAUUGCCAUCAGUUUGGCGGUCAGUCGGUUUCGGAUUGUGGGGGGCGAGUCAAAGUGCGGGGACGUCGGGCGUGUCGCAUCUCGGGUGGCACCAUGAAAUUUGUUGCUGCAACCUGUUCGGUGACAUAUUCGAGCGUUACAGUACUGUUUGAACCACCAGCAUCUGGUCUACCCUCAGGUUUGCUGGCAUCUCCUUCUCUUUUAAGGGUGGAUGGUGGUACAGUCUAUGUGCCCAUAGUUAAUGUUGGUACUGUGGAUGUGUUGCUGUACGCUAGCACUGUCAUUGGCACAGUGAAUAAGGUUGAUGUGAUUAGUUUGCCCCCAGAGGUCACAGAAGUUAAGAUGGUUACCGCCAAGGUGAGUACACAGGUUGUGCACGUUUCCCCCACUGUACAGGAACAGGUAGCUAUGCUAGAUCUAUCGGUGCUGCCAGAAGAAGAACAGGGUAAGGUCAGGGCAUUACUGGAGAAGUAUGUGUCUGUGUUCGCUAUGGACGACGGGGAUUUGGGAUGUACUAAUCUGAUAUCCCAUGAGAUCCCCUUGUUGGAUGACACCCCUGUUAGGCAGCGGUUUCGGCGUAUUCCUCCAUCCGAGUAUGAGGUGGUAAAGGCACAUAUCAAUCAAUUGUUGGAAAAUCGGGUAAUUAGAGAGAGCUGCAGUCCUUAUGCUUCGCCUAUUGUCUUGGUCAAAAAGAAGGAUGGUAGUUUACGCAUGUGCGUGGACUACCGUCGCUUAAAUUCAAAGACUAGGAAGGAUGCAUUCCCUCUACCACGUAUUGAGGAGACUUUGGACUCGCUGGCCGGGUACCUGUAG
ensembl:lncRNA